rnacentral:lncRNA from 1 species
ACUAAACCAACGGCUCUUUUAAGAGCCACACACUCCUCUUAAAGAGCGUUAAGUUUCACUCAGUCAUGUGUUUGGAUACAAACUAUCAGGAAUGAUUUCAGAUAUCACUUUUUACAUUAGUUUUUUUAUUCUAUGCAUUGUUUUUGGCCAACAUUUAAUAAAUGUGGUACCUGUCCUUAUUACACCGUUGGUCAGAGGGAUGUAUUUCCUCUAGGGGCCUACAUAUCUACCACUUACAGAUGGGUUUUUAUAAUUAUAAUCAAAAGUGACUUUUACAUUAGAUUUCUACAGUCUGUUUUUAUCUUAGAUUUGCACUAUUUAGAAUUUUUAUAAUAAAUACUAUAACUUUCUUCAUAAUUGUCUUUGAUGUAUUCAUUACUAUCUUCAUACUUGUACCUGCCUUGUUUCACUGGGUCAGAGAGAAUUAUUUAAAUUAUCUGGCACGUAUUGCAGAAUUGACAUUAAAGUUGGCCUGCUAAUAAAGAAAAGCCCCUUGUAAACUCUACAAAUGUACUACUUAAAAUUGGGUUUUUAUAAUGGGCAAUGUUACUUGGUCUGUAUCAUUGCUUUGUGUCUUAGCCUCACUUUGUUCUAUUACUGGUAGACUUUACAUUUGGGCUACUAUAGUGCUUUUACUCUAUAUGUGAACAGGUACACCAGCUCAAAGUAAACCUGCUGUCAGACCACAACACGGCUCUUUUAAAACGCAUUUCAUUAAAAUUUUAUUCUAAGAGCAAAUUUUCGUUCAAUCAUUGCUGUUUAUUUUGUAACUAUCCAUGAAUAUUGUCACUUGUGAAAGUCUCUUAAAAUCUCCACCAUCAUGGUCACUAUUACUGUCAUUGUUAUUGCUUGGUGCCUUACAGUUGUAUUACUACAUGGACUUUACAUUAAGCUACCAUGCUAUUAUUCUACAGCAAAGUACACAAGCUCCAGCUGUGACCAGCUCGCCGUGUCUGAGGGCACCAAGGCCGUCACCAAGUACACCAGCUCCAAGUAAACAUCCCGCUGCU